UGGGGAAUUUUUCGCAAUGGGGGAAACCCUGACGAAGCAACGCCGCGUGGAGGAUGAAGGCCUUCGGGUCGUAAACUCCUGUCGACCGGGACGAACGUAGUCCGGCCCAAUACGCCGGGCUAUCGACUGUACCGGUGGAGGAAGCCACGGCUAACUCUGUGCCAGCAGCCGCGGUAAUACAGAGGUGGCAAGCGUUGUUCGGAAUUACUGGGCGUAAAGGGCGCGUAGGCGGUUCGUUAAGUCCUGUGUGAAAUCCCCCGGCUCAACUGGGGAACUGCACAGGAAACUAGCGGGCUUGAGUUCGGGAGAGGGAAGCGGAAUUCCGGGUGUAGCGGUGAAAUGCGUAGAUAUCCGGAGGAACACCGGUGGCGAAGGCGGCUUCCUGGACCGACACUGACGCUGAGGCGCGAAAGCUAGGGGAGCAAACGGG
rnacentral:rRNA from 1 species